GAUGAACGCUGGCGGCGUGCCUAAUACAUGCAAGUCGAGCGAACAGAUGAGGAGCUUGCUUCUCUGACGUUAGCGGCGGACGGGUGAGUAACACGUGGAUAACCUACCUAUAAGACUGGGAUAACUUCGGGAAACCGGAGCUAAUACCGGAUAAUAUAUUGAACCGCAUGGUUCAAUAGUGAAAGACGGUUUUGCUGUCACUUAUAGAUGGAUCCGCGCCGCAUUAGCUAGUUGGUAAGGUAACGGCUUACCAAGGCAACGAUGCGUAGCCGACCUGAGAGGGUGAUCGGCCACACUGGAACUGAGACACGGUCCAGACUCCUACGGGAGGCAGCAGUAGGGAAUCUUCCGCAAUGGGCGAAAGCCUGACGGAGCAACGCCGCGUGAGUGAUGAAGGUCUUCGGAUCGUAAAACUCUGUUAUUAGGGAAGAACAAAUGUGCAAGUAACUAUGCACGUCUUGACGGUACCUAAUCAGAAAGCCACGGCUAACUACGUG
rnacentral:rRNA from 1 species